AACCCACCACCGGCGACCUCGCUGCAGCCCCGUACCACCACAACCGGAGAGGACUUCGUAGAGGGUGACUUCUAACCUUAAAGUGGCCAAUCAAUUUGUGUACUCAAGAUUCAUCACAGGUUUUGCAUAAACUGUCUUGCAUCAGGGUGAUGGGAUUUGAGUGGAGAGUUGGUUAACCAGUUAGCUUAUUUCAUAACACAGAUUGAAUUUUAUUUUGGUGUUGGUUCCAUUACUUCCUAUUUUACUGGAUUUUGAAUAAGGGUCGUUAUGGUUCCAA